GUGGGGAAUAUUGCUCAAUGGAGGGAACUCUGAAGCAGCGACGCCGCGUGAAGGAAGAAGGUUUUCGGAUUGUAAACUUCUUUGACCAGGGACGAGUAAGGACGGUACCUGGAAAACAAGCCACGGCUAACUACGUGCCAGCAGCCGCGGUAAUACGUAGGUGGCGAGCGUUGUCCGGAAUUACUGGGUGUAAAGGGCGUGUAGGCGGUUAUCCAAGUCAGAUGUGAAAGCCCGCGGCUCAACUGCGGGACUGCAACUGAAACUGGGUGACUUGAGUGCUGGAGAGGGAAGCGGAAUUCCCAGUGUAGCGGUGAAAUGCGUAGAUAUUGGGAGGAACACCAGUGGCGAAGGCGGCUUUCUGGACAGCAACUGACGCUGAGGCGCGAAAGCGUGGGGAGCAAACAGGAUUAGAUACCCUAGUAGUCC
rnacentral:rRNA from 1 species